rnacentral:rRNA from 1 species
CCUACGGGGGGCUGCAGUCGAGAAUCUUCGGCAAUGGGGGAAACCCUGACCGAGCGACGCCGCGUGCGGGAUGAAGGCCCUUGGGUUGUAAACCGCUGUCGUAAGGGAACAAAUCCAUGGGGGUACUCCCCUGUGGUUGAGUGAUCUUAGGAGGAAGGACGGGCUAAGUUCGUGCCAGCAGCCGCGGUAAGACGAACCGUCCGAACCAUAUUCGGUAUCACUGGGGUAGACGAGUUCGCAGGUGGCCCGAGAAAUCCCUCGGCUCAACCGAGGAACUGCGCUUGAAACCGUCAGGCUUGAGGGAGAUAGAGGUGAGCGGAACAGAUGGUGGAGCGGUGAAAUGCGUUGAUAUCAUCUGGAACACCGGUGGCGAAAGCGGCUCACUGGAUCUUUUCUGACGCUGAGGAACGAAAGCUAGGGUAGCGAACGGGAUUAGAUACCCGUGUAGUC